rnacentral:lncRNA from 1 species
UGGAGGGGCUAUGGGUGUGCGACCUCCUAGCACCAGGAGGGGCAGAGUGGGACAAGGCCAGACUCUGGCUGUUGUUCGGGGUAUACUUAGCUGCGUGGAUUCGGUCCCUUUCGUUAUCAGGAUAUGGGGGGCCAGAUGUCAGGGUGUGGGGCACCUCGAGCCGGGCUAGUAUUAGACUGGGAGAUCUCUCUCGUGUUAUUCAACCGGAGCACAAGCCGGGGCCGGAUUGCACUUGGAUCUGGAGGUCCGGACUCCACUUGAGGGCAGCUCUCUUCUUAUGGAAGGUGUUCUGGGACCGCCUUCCGACGAGAGCAGUACUGAGCAGGCGUGGCUGGGG